rnacentral:lncRNA from 10 species
CAACGAUAUCAGUUCAUACACAUGGGCUUGAAUACUUCCCAUUUACAAGGCCUCGGAAGACAGCAAGCCCCGAGGGGUUUGGAAAAGAAGGCAGGCAACUCACAUGAAGCCCAUAGGCAGACAAAAUAAGCAGUGUUAGCUGGUUGCCUGACGCUCUCACUGCCCCUCCGGCAUAAAUGCUGCGCUGCCAUCGCGGCAGGCUAAACAGAAAUGCUGAGCCUCCCAAGCUAAAGGGAAAGUCAGCCCUGCUGAGGAGGGGGGCGGAGGAGCUCAGUCACUGAGGCUGCCACACCAGAGUCGGGGGUGAGGGAUCAAGGCGAGGCUGACAGGUGACAGGGUGAGUGGAAAAUCCUAAGAGCAAAGCUUCUCAGGGACCAGCAACCCGCGCAACACAGGUGCGACAUGAAGACAUCAUCUGUGGCAGGCUGUCGCUGUUCCAACAGUUUUAUCAUCUUACAGAAGAUCAUGGAUGGUAAAGAUGAAGUUGCCUUUUAAGUGGGAAGAAUGGAACGUCUCUCUGCUUCCACCACAAACUAAAGUUAAGAAAUAAAAAAUGAAGACUUCUGUGAAAUCAAGCCCUUGAGAACUUCUUGAAAUGCAGAAGCACGGCCAUGCGAUAGGCCAGUCAAGGUUGAAUCCGGGUCCAUUAAAACAGAAAUGAGGAAAGGAAUCCUGACUUAUGUCCAGAUGAAAAUUUCCAAACUCCUUGGCUGCAUUCCUUAGAAUUGAUAGGAACUACUCGAGCUGCCACCUGGGACCCAUAGCGGAAGCUUCUCUCUGAGGAUGGCGAUGAGCCCACAUCAGAUGGAAACUCCUGGGUUCUCUGAUGACUGCGGGGCCACCAUACCAGUCCCGGACACCCUUCAUUUAUGUUAUCUUUAGGUUAAAUACCAGCGGAACUGUCAGCCUGCAAGUCUCAGAGAUGGAUGCUUUGUGAAGUGCUACAAAAGGAUGAUCCUUCCCACAUCCUCAUGAAUUUACGUCACUUUUGUGGAAGAACAAGGCUCAAGACAGUCAAUGCCAAAGAUCAUCCUGUCUCCAGGCUCUGCUGAACCUGCCGAUCGGUGGGAAAUGACGGGAGACAAUGAGUCCACUGAGAGGUGAUGGAGAAUGGCAGGCACUGAGCUAAGAUACCUUAAAUGUGAUGCUUCUCAUGCUGACGGCCAACUGAAAACAAUCUCAUCAUUACUUCUUAUUAUGAUAUACAUUUUAAUUUGUUUUUCUCCUCAAUCUGGGUAUAGCUGCUAUGCAAAUAUGUCUUUUAAAUGUUUGGAUAGAGGCCACGCCCAUGAUGUUAAAAGUUAGCAAUCAGUAUUUAUGUAACUUCGUAGGUCUUGUGAGAGGGCGCAAAUCUGAAUGCAUACAUCUUACUAAUUAAGCUCAUUGAAGACAUGCAAUAAACCACACUCAAGAUGCAGUUACCUUUAAUUUUGGUGGAUUGAUCUCCUGUUGAUAAGAAUAUUUAGGGAGGAGAGGAGGUGAGCAGGGCUGAGAAAGUGUAGAGUCCAGGUCAGAAACAGAGGCGAAGAGAGAAUGAAAUGGAGGGGAGGAAAGCAGGUGGCUGGGAAAGGGUGUGGGUGCUUGCUCUCCCGAAGAAAAUGACGGAGGCUUAAAUAUCGAGGAAAGACGAGAGGUGAUUAUGCUUGUCUCAGAAUGAGGUUACAUGCUCUUUACGGAAUUUCCUCUCAACUUCCAACAUUUUAAAGUUACUAAUAACCUUGGGAAGUUAUAUUUAUGACAAAUUUUUUGCUUUGAAACCACUAACUUCCUCUUUUGAAUUUGAUUCAAAAUCCCCAAUGGUAUGAUCAGUUUAAUUUUUCGCAUGGGGGUGGCUGGAGAUAGGAACACCUAUAUUCUAUCAUUUUCUCAUAUAUUUAUAUGAUGGCUCCUUCUAAAAGUGAAGGAAAAAAGUAUUUAAAACCCUGCAAUGACUGUAACUUGCGUGUAAAGUAGGUUGCCAACUAUAGUCAGCGUGUCACAAAGCUGGGGAAGCCGUGGCCCCGCGUGCAGGGUGUGAGCUGGUGCUGGGAUGAGCCGGCCUAGGGUACUGUCUGUGUCAGCAAAGCCACACAUCUAAUCACACCUUCAGAUUGAUUGAAUUGAAAGGAAUAUUAGUUACUGAAAUAAUUGAUGUAGAGACACGUUUGGCUCCUUGCAAUGAAUUAUCUAUCUGUUAUUAAAUAAGGUGUUUGUUUUACACAAAUGCAGGCCUGGCCGGGUUAUUUUGAAAUACAGGAACUAUGAAAGAAUUUGACUUGGAUAGUAGCGUAAUAGGAACCAUCCUUUCUGUUAUUUCAUAAUUUCUAUAAUUGCCAGUAAUUAUACUUGCUUCUUAAUUCACAGGGUACAUUUGUGGGAUCAAGUUUCUUUUUAUUUUUGAAAUGGAGUUUUGCUCUUUUUGCCCAGAACGGAGUGCAGUGGCACAACUUCAGUUCACUGCAACCUCCGCCUCCCGGUUUGAAGCAGUUCUCCUGCCUCAGCCUCCCGAGUAGCUGGGAUUACAGGCACCCAACACCAUGUCUGACUAAUUUUUGUAUUUUUAGUGGAGAUGGGGGUUUUACCAUGUUGGACAGGUUGGUUUCGAACUCCUGACCUCAGAUGAUCCACCAGCCUUGGGCUCCCAAAGUGCUGGAUUACAGGCGUAAGCCACCGCAGCUGGCCUUAAGUUUCUCUUUUUUUUUGAGAUGGAGUCUCGCUCUGUCACCCAGGCUGGAGUGCACUGGCACGAUCUCAGCUCAUUACAACCUCCUCCUCCCGGGUUCAAGUGAUUCUCCUGCCUCAGCCUCCCGAGUAGCUGGGAUUGUAGGCACCCACCACCACGCCUGGCUAGUUUUUGUAUUUUUGGUAGUGACGGGGUUUCACCAUGUUGGCCAGGCUGAUCUCAAAUUCCUGACCUCAGGUGAUCUGCCUGCCUCGGCCUCUGGAAGUGCUGGCGUUGCAGGCUCGUUUUUUGUUUUAAGAGAGAGGUUUGCAAGCUAAAGUUUCUGGAUAUUUUCUGCCUUUGUUGAUUAAAACCACUGUUCAAGAUUCUUCAUAACAUGAAGAUACAGUACCCAGUUCUUAAGUAGUCAAUGUGAAGUCAACACAAAGAGAACGACCUCUUUAGAAAAUCGAAAGGGGACAGAAGUGCUGUUUUUCUUUUCUGUUGUCUUUGUUUAUUAUUAGCAUUAUUAUUUUUGCAAAGUGCCGUUAUGUCAAAGGUAUGGUGUACAGUUUCUCAUCCUGGAAUAGGACAAAUUUCUGGGCAUCAACUUCCUCUUCUCUAAAGUGGGGAUGAUAAUGUCACACACCUCACUGGGUUUUGACGAUUAAAGAUGUGGAGUUUUUAGAAUAGUGUCUGAUACUCAGUAAGAGCUCCACUAUUAGCUAUCAUUGUUAAUAUUGGAAGAUUACAAAGACUAUAUCAAUUACAAAGACUUUUACAAUAUAAGUUUAUGGUCCUGAAGAAAAAUGGGAUAAUGGAAUUAUAUCACAUAUUUACAUCAUUUAAUUAAAUAUGGUGUGUUUUCAUAUACCCACUCCACCCCCAUCUUAUAUAGUAUUUGUGUUUUUUGUUUAAAAAAAUCUGUUAGUCAAAAUAGGUAUUUAUUAAUAUGAUUAACUCUAAUAGCUAAUCAUGGUAAGGCCGGUUAGUUCUUCCAUAAUCAGACAAAAUUAAAAUACCUCAUUACUGGGUUUUGCUGCAUUGCUGUCCUCCUUGGGGGUCCUAGGAUCUGUGGGGGUGGCUAUGGGGUGUUUUAGGCAGUUGGGUUUCUCCUCCUCCUCCUCCUCUUCAAUGUGCAGGUGUGGGGUGCCCUCUGACCCAUCGUGGCCACACCACCAGGCGUCUCCUUCCUGAGGUUCUGGCGGCCCUCUCUGGAUGCCUGACACAAUCCCCUCAUAGAUGCCCUCAUCUUCCUCUCCAAUGACCGGAAGGGGUACAGGCAAGGAACCCACGCUGGUGCACGCAGAGGCCACAAAAUUAUCCCCUAGGACUUCUGGUGCCUUUUUAGGGUCUGAGAAGCCCCUUCUCAUUUUUCUCAACUCUGCAAAGUUGCUUUGAGUUGUCGUUCUGGGAUCCUGAAGAGGCUCUGCAUGGUAAGGCUGGGCUGCAGCCGAGGCCACACCCGCGUGAGUGGAAGGUGAUUCGGCAGGUGCAGUCGCUGGGGACAAUGGGAGGAGGACAGCAGGUUCCUCCUUAAUUUCCAGGAUGGCGU